rnacentral:rRNA from 1 species
GAUGAACGCUAGCUACAGGCUUAACACAUGCAAGUCGAGGGGAAACGAUAGAGAAAGCUUGCUUUUUCUAGGCGUCGACCGGCGCACGGGUGAGUAACGCGUAUCCAACCUGCCCAUCACUUGGGGAUAACCUUGCGAAAGUAAGACUAAUACCCAAUGACGUCUCUAGAAGACAUCUGAAAGAGAUUAAAGAUUUAUCGGUGAUGGAUGGGGAUGCGUCUGAUUAGCUUGUUGGCGGGGUAACGGCCCACCAAGGCGACGAUCAGUAGGGGUUCUGAGAGGAAGGUCCCCCACAUUGGAACUGAGACACGGUCCAAACUCCUACGGGAGGCAGCAGUGAGGAAUAUUGGUCAAUGGGCGAGAGCCUGAACCAGCCAAGUAGCGUGCAGGAUGACGGCCCUAUGGGUUGUAAACUGCUUUUAUAAGGGAAUAAAGUGAGUCUCGUGAGACUUUUUGCAUGUACCUUAUGAAUAAGGACCGGCUAAUUCCGUGCCAGCCGCCGCCGUAA